rnacentral:rRNA from 1 species
UCAUACGGGAGGCAGCAGUGGGGAAUAUUGCACAAUGGGGGAAACCCUGAUGCAGCCAUGCCGCGUGUGUGAAGAAGGCCUUCGGGUUGUAAAGCACUUUCAGUUGUGAGGAAAGGUUGGUAGUUAAUACCUGCCAGCUGUGACGUUAACAACAGAAGAAGCACCGGCUAACUCCGUGCCAGCAGCCGCGGUAAUACGGAGGGUGCGAGCGUUAAUCGGAAUUACUGGGCGUAAAGCGCACGCAGGCGGUUUGUUAAGCUAGAUGUGAAAGCCCCGGGCUCAACCUGGGAUGGUCAUUUAGAACUGGCAGACUAGAGUCUUGGAGAGGGGAGUGGAAUUCCAGGUGUAGCGGUGAAAUGCGUAGAUAUCUGGAGGAACAUCAGUGGCGAAGGCGGCUCCCUGGCCAAAGACUGACGCUCAUGUGCGAAAGUGUGGGUAGCGAACAGGAUUAGAUACCCUGGUAGUCCACACCGUAAACGCUGUCUACUAACUGUUUGUGAAAUUAAUUCGUGAGAAGCGAAACUAACGCGCUAAGUAGACCGC